UGUCUAAGUAUAAGCAAUCAUACUGUGAAACUGCGAAUGGCUCAUUAAAUCAGUUAUCGUUUAUUUGAUAGUACCUUUACCUGGAUAACCGUGGUAAUUCUAGAGCUAAUACAUGCUAAAAACCUCGACUUCGGAAGGGGUGUAUUUAUUAGAUAAAAAACCAAUGCCCUUUGGGCUCCUUGGUGAUUCAUAAUAACUUAACGAAUCGCAUGGCCUUGCGCCGGCGAUGGUUCAUUCAAAUUUCUGCCCUAUCAACUUUCGAUGGUAGGAUAGUGGCCUACCAUGGUCUCAACGGGUAACGGGGAAUUAGGGUUCUAUUCCGGAGAGGGAGCCUGAGAAACGGCUACCACAUCCAAGGAAGGCAGCAGGCGCGCAAAUUACCCAAUCCCAAUUCGGGGAGGUAGUGACAAUAAAUACUGAUACGGGGCUCUUUCGGGUCUCGUAAUUGGAAUGAGUACAAUCUAAAUCCCUUAACGAGGAACAAUUGGAGGGCAAGUCUGGUGCCAGCAGCCGCGGUAAUUCCAGCUCCAAUAGCGUAUAUUAAAGUUGUUGCCGUUAAAAAGCUCGUAGUUGAACCUUGGACCUGGCUGAUCUGUCCUCCUAACCGAGCGCACGGAUUCGGUCGGGUCUUUCCUUCUGGGGAGCCCUAUGCCCUUCACUGGGUGUAGUGGGGAACCAGGACUUUUACCUUGAAAAAAUUAGAGUGUUCAAAGCAGGCCUUUGCUCGAAUACAUUAGCAUGGAAUAAUAGAAUAGGACAUCGGUUCUAUUUUGUUGGUUUCUAGGACCGCUGUAAUGAUUAAUAGGGAUAGUCGGGGGCGUCAGUAUU
rnacentral:rRNA from 1 species